GCGCCUGUAGCUCAACGGGAUAGAGCAACGGCCUUCUAAGCCGUAGGUUGCAGGUUCGAUUCCUGCCAGGCGUGCCA
rnacentral:tRNA from 1 species